rnacentral:rRNA from 1 species
UACAGAGGGGGCGAGCGUUGUUCGGAAUUACUGGGCGUAAAGGGCGCGUAGGCGGCGGGGUAAGUCGGGUGUGAAAUCUCAGGGCUCAACCCUGAAACUGCACUUGAUACUGCUCUGCUUGAGGACUGGAGAGGAGACUGGAAUUCACGGUGUAGCAGUGAAAUGCGUAGAUAUCGUGAGGAAGACCAGUGGCGAAGGCGGGUCUCUGGACAGUUCCUGACGCUGAGGCGCGAAGGCCAGGGGAGCAAACGGG